rnacentral:rRNA from 1 species
UACGUAGGUGGCAAGCGUUGUCCGGAUUUACUGAGCGUAAAGGAUGCGUAGGCGGAUAUUUAAGUCAGAUGUGAAAUACCCGAGCUUAACUUGGGUGCUGCAUUUGAAACUGGAUAUCUAGAGUGUGGGAGAGGAAAGUGGAAUUCCUAGUGUAGCGGUGAAAUGCGUAGAGAUUAGGAAGAACACCAGUGGCGAAGGCGACUUUCUGGACCAUAACUGACGCUGAGGCAUGAAAGCGUGGGGAGCAAACAGG